rnacentral:tRNA from 1 species
GGUGCCAUAGCCAAGUGGUAAGGCAGAGGUCUGCAAAACCUCUAUUCCCCAGUUCAAAUCUGGGUGGCACCU